GCAUUAAUGGGGUAGUGGUAACCUGGGUCGUUGCCAUUGUGUUGUACUCGACCCGCCGGGGGUUCGAUUCCCUCUUAAUGCA
rnacentral:tRNA from 1 species